AUAGCGUCAUCCGUAUUUAGUUAUCACGUCCCAGUUGGGUUCUAAUUUUAUCAUUCAAGAUAUGAUUAUGUCUUGUGUUUUUCCAAACUAUGUAUAAAAGUAAAUACCGCUCCAGAUAUUGAAAUCGACUUUGAAAUCGUCUGUUGAAGAACGUUCUGGAUAAAGACGUGUGAAUUGCUUCUCUUGACGCUAAACUGGAAAAGCGUCCUUCGCUUUCAACUCUCGUGUGGGAUUCAGUCUUCUCAUUGCAGUGGAUCUAUCUUCUUUGAAAGAUCUGGUGGACAGAUUGAAGGUAUGUA